rnacentral:rRNA from 1 species
GAUCCUGGCUCAGGAUGAACGCUAGCUACAGGCUUAACACAUGCAAGUCGCGGGGCAGCAUGACGAUGCUUGCAAUGUGAUGGCGACCGGCGCACGGGUGAGUAACGCGUAUCCAACCUUCCCCAUAGUAGGGUAUAGCCCGGCGAAAGUCGGAUUAAUCCCCUAUGUUGUUUGAAGCGGACAUCUAAUUCAAACCAAAGAUUCAUCGCUAUGGGAUGGGGAUGCGUCUGAUUAGGUUGCAGGCGGGGUAACGGCCCACCUGGCCGACGAUCAGUAGGGGUUCUGAGAGGAAGGUCCCCCACACUGGUACUGAGACACGGACCAGACUCCUACGGGAGGCAGCAGUGAGGAAUAUUGGUCAAUGGGCGCGAGCCUGAACCAGCCAAGUAGCGUGCAGGAUGACGGCCCUACGGGUUGUAAACUGCUUUUAUGCGGGGAUAAAGUGCGGCACGUGUGCCGUUUUGCAGGUACCGCAUGAAUAAGGACCGGCUAAUUCCGUGCCAGCCGCGGC